rnacentral:rRNA from 1 species
CAACCCGUCUCUGUUGCAAAAGAGUGGGAAGAUUUUCAAGUAGAGGUGACAAGCCUAUCGAACUUAGAGAUAGCUGGUUGUUCAGGAAAAGAGUCCAAGCUCUACCUUAAGUUUUUUCAAUUAACCUAAACAAAAUCCUAAACUUAAGAGCUAUUCAAGUAAGGCACAGCUUACUUGAAACAGGGUACAACCUCCCACAUUGGGUAAACAAGAACAAAUUAAACAAAGUCGGCCUAAGAGCAGCCAUCUUAUAAAAAGCGUUAAAGCUUAACUUAUAUGCACUUAUAAUUCCAAUAGUUACUAUUAACCCCUCAUUACUACUGAACUAUUUUAUAACCUUAUAAAAAUUAUUAUGCUAGAACUAGUAACAUGAAUACUUUUCUCCUUAAUGUAAGCUUAAACCAUAAUGGACCAUCCACUGGUAUUUAACGUAACUGUUCUUAUUAUAGCAACAUACGUCUAGAAAACCCUAUAAUCAAUAACGUUAACCUUACACUAGAACAUUAUAGGAAAGAUUAAAAGAAAGAGAAGGAACUCGGCAAACCCCAGCCCCGCCUGUUUACCAAAGACAUCGCCUCUUGCCUAACAUAAGAGGUCCAGCCUGCCCAGUGACAUAGUUUAACGGCCGCGGUACCCUAACCGUGCGAAGGUAGCAUAAUCACUUGUUCCCUAAAUAGGGACUAGUAUCAAUGGCAUCACGAGGGCUACACUGUCUCCUCUCUCCAAUCAGUGAAACUGAUCUCCCCGUGAAGAAGCGGGGAUUUUAAUAUAAGACGAGAAGACCCCAUGGAGCUUUAAACUUAAUAUACACCUCUACCCAUCUAUACCAAUUAACCCUAAAAGUCUGUGUGUUAGUUUUAGGUUGGGGGGACCGCGGAGUACAACUCAACCUCCACGACAAACGGGCUAACGCCCUUAUCCAUGAAACACAAUUCUAAGAAUCAACAAUCUGAUGUUUUAUGACCCGACAAGUCGAUCAACGAACCAAGUUACCCUGGGGAUAACAGCGCAAUCUA